rnacentral:rRNA from 1 species
AACGAACGCUGGCGGCGUGCCUAACACAUGCAAGUCGAGCGCGAAAAGGGCAACCUGAGUAGAGCGGCGCACGGGUGCGUAACACGUGGGUAAUCUGCCUUAGAGUCGAGGAUAACCUUCCGAAAGGUUGGCUAAUACUCGGUAAGCUUACGGUGUCUUCGGACGCUGUGGGAAAAGUAGGCCUCUGUUUACAAGCUUACGCUCUGAGAUGAGCCCGCGGCCCAUCAGCUAGUUGGCGGUGUAACGGACCACCAAGGCAACGACGGGUAGCUGGUCUGAGAGGACGAUCAGCCACACUGGAACUGAGACACGGUCCAGACUCCUACGGGAGGCAGCAGUGGGGAAUUUUCCACAAUGGGCGAGAGCCUGAUGGAGCAACGCCGCGUGUGUGAUGAAGGUUUUCGGAUCGUAAAGCACUUUCGACUGGGACGAAAAACCUUUGGCUAACAUCCAGGGGCCUGACGGUACCAGGAGAAGAAGCACCGGCUAACUCUGUGCCAGCCGCCGCGGUAAUAC